rnacentral:misc_RNA from 1 species
UUUAAAAAGCUCGUAGAAGAAAAAGAAAUUUCUCAUCAUCCGACAGUAAACGAAGCAUCGUUGCAAAGCUACAAACGAGACCACGUACUCGAGAUCGAUUGCAUCACAAAAUUCUGAAAUAUAAACUACUUCUGCUUGUGGAUGUUCGAUCCACGAGCGACACAGAAAAUUCCACGAACGAACCAGUUUCUACAGUUCAGAAUGUCGAUUACGUACAAUAUCUGAUGGAUCGUACCAGGAAAUUCUAUUAAUUAUACAAUCCCAAACACUCACCAGGAUACGUUCGUUCUCGGUGAUCUCGCCACUGUCAGAGAACCAUCUGAGUUCUGGUUUCGGUUCUCCGACUACCGCACACUCAAAAGUGGCAGUCUCGCCUUCCGCCACCAGAGAAUCCGUCGGAAGUUUCACGAAUUUCGGGGGUGAACCCGCGACCAAUGUUUCUUCCACUUCUGUUCGUGUCUUGUCCAAUUUUUUCGAAACGGUCACCGCUGGAUAAAAGAUAUUUGUUAUUUUACACGUUAAUUAUUAAGAUUUGUUAUUUUACGCGUUAGGAAAGAGAACGCGUGAUUUACAAAAGCUGGAGAUUAUUUCGGUGAUUAAGUUUUUCAUUCACCUAAGGAUUACGUAAUCUAUAAAUGAAAUUUGAAUUUAGUUUAAGAAGACACGGAAUUAAUUAAGCACCUUUGAAUGCUUCUUUGAGAAUGAUCAAAUUAUAAUUAUGGUACAGCUGUUGUAAAUACAAUCAGAGAGCAUAAAAUGUUUAGAUUCUAUAAUAAGAUAGACAAGGAUUUACAAUAAAAGAUCUACUACAAAAAUUUACAGCAAAUUUCUUGGCGUUAAAAAUAAUAGCAAAAGAUGUGGAUCAUUAAAAUAGAAAAAUUACGAGCUUCAUGGUAUGUAAGUAUUCGAUAAAAUGUUUCUACGUACGUGUCACUGUUAAUGUGCACUGACUAGACGCUUCACCGCCAGAAUUAAUGGCGACUACUUUGUACACACCGGCGUCAUCCAAAAAAGCUUCGUGAAUGACCAAGGAACAUUUGUCACCCUGGAACAACAGCUGGAAAUCGGCUGACUCCUUUACAGGUUGAUCAUCGUGAUACCAAAUCACCUGUGCCAACAAAUUUACAGAUUUUCUGUUAUAAAAGAAGUUACAGAAUUAAAUGUCGAAGCUUAGCUAAAAUAUUCGACUGUGUUCGUUUCAUCCAUCGAACAUAAGAUAGCUCUACUAUCAUUUAUUCUGACUUUCACAAAACUUUUUCUUU